AGGGAGCUGCAGACGGAGCUGCAGGUGGAGCAGAAGAAGAGCGAGGAGUAUCAGAAAGGAGUCCGUCGCCACGAGAAGAAAGUCAAGGAGCUGACGUACCAGUCGGAGGAGGACAGUAAGACUCUGCUGAGGAUGCAGGAACUCAUCGAAAAGCUCCAGACCAAAGUCAAGAGCUACAAGAGACAAGCCGAGAACGCCGAGGAGCAGGCGGGCUGCAGCACGCUGCGUUUCCGGAAGGUUCAACACGAGCUGGACGACGCCGAGGAGCGGGCCGACAUCGCCGAGACCACCGUCAACAAGCUGCGGAUCCGAACCCGCGAACAGAUCAGCAAGGUCGCCGUGAUCGCCGAGUGAAGCUCCGCUGCGUCUUCAACCCUCAGUGUGUGUGU